ensembl:lncRNA
AAAGUAUACUCAGAACACAGAUGUUGUUGAUACCUGCCUUACAGGGAAGUUUGUUCACGUUUGAACGAUUCUUGUGAAAAUCCACAGCAGUGCAAUGUACCAAAUGAGAGAAAGAGAGAGUGGAUCUGUCACUGUUGUUACCAACAUCUUAAAGUUGGCCGCAUGCCACAACUCGCCAUCGCAAAUAAUUUACAGCUCGCAGAUAUUCCACCUGAACUGUGUGACUUAAACAUAUUGGAGAGACAUCUCAUUAGCAAAUACAUUACGUUUGCCAAAAUAAUCCCGCUUCCCAAAGGUCAACAACGAGCCAUUCAUGGCAAUGUAAUAUGCGUCCCAUCAGAAGUGCAGGAAACAGUCAAUGCCUUGCCCAGACUUAGAAGUGAAUCUCAAGUCUUGAGAGUGAAGCUAAAGAGACGUUUGUGUUAUAAAGGUCAUCAGCUAUUCCAAACUGUAACCUGGACUAAACUAGUGAGGGCUUUGCUUAAGCUUAAAGAGGUCCAUCCACAGUACAACGACAUAACCAUCAGAGAUGAGGCUGAAUUAUGCGAUCCAACUCUAGAUGAGGACGAAGAGACUGAAAACAUAGAUGACACUUGAUUUUAAUGCUGAAGAUAUGAUGGAAAUCGACAGCUUUGAGAACGGUGCACUUUGCGAGGCAGAACCUGAAAACAAUGAACAGGCUAUUGAUUCAAUUGAAUUAAGUCAGCAGUCAAACAGCAAUCAACAGGAGGGUGAUGAACCUAAUGGCGGCAUUGCUCUCGAGUCAUGUCUGCAGCCAACUGACAUUUCAGAGGAAAUUUUGAGCUUUAGCGAAGGAAUAUAUUCGGUUGCGCCCGCUGAAGGAAACAAACCAGUAAGCUUUUUCAAAACUCCUAACCUUGAGGCGAUGGCUUUCCCCGUUCAGUUUCCGACGAGCAAAAACACAAUCGAUGAAGAGCGUCCGAAGAAAUUAACUCCCUGCAGUUAUUUCAAAAGUAGACUGAGCUGCAUCGACGACCGUUUUGCAAGAGAUACAAACUAUUUGUUCUUUGCACAGUUUGUACAAGAAAUAUAUCAGGCCACCUCCAGCAUGUCAAUACAAUUGCGCAAAGGAAAACCGUAUACCCGCGACGGUCGCAAAAUAAACAAUGCAAUGUUGCAAGACAAACACGAGGUUGAAAAACUGGUACGUAACAAAGACGCAAUUCGAUUCAUGAAAGUUUUGCGAGGCAGCCCCGCCUACUGGCAACAAACUACCAAAGACUUGUUUGCGAUGAUAAGGCAAUGUGGAACGCCGACUUUCUUUUGUACAUUUUCUGCAGCCGAAAUGCGCUGGAAAGAAAUAAUUACCGCUAUUAAAACUCAACAAGGCGAACAAGUGAAUUUCGAUGAGCUCGACUGGUCGUCCAAAUCCGAUAUUUUGCGAAGUAAUCCUGUGACAACGAUGCGCAUGUUUGACAAACGCGUUGAAGCGCUGUUCAGAGAUUUGAUCAUGUCACCUGCACAACCCAUCGGCAAAGUCGUUGAUUACUUUUACCGUUUAGAAUUUCAGCACAGAGGUUCCCCUCACAUACAUUGUCUCAUUUGGAUAGAAGGAGCGCCAGUGUUUGAGGAGGACUCGGAUAAGACGGUUUGCGAUUUCAUUUCCAAAUACAUCACCGCCGAGAUGCCUGAUCCAAACACGCAACCUGAACUUCACAAAAAGUUAGCGGGUUCAAAUGCACAGCAAGACACACUCAAAGACGUGUAUUAAAUAUCUCGGUG